UACGUAGGGGGCAAGCGUUGUCCGGAUUUAUUGGGCGUAAAGAGCGUGUAGGCGGCUUUACAGGUCCGUUGUGAAAACCCGAGGCUUAACCUCGGGCCUGCAGUCGAUACGGGCAGACUAGAGUUCGGUAGGGGAGACUGGAAUUCCUGGUGUAGCGGUGAAAUGCGCAGAUAUCAGGAGGAACACCGGUGGCGAAGGCGGGUCUCUGGGCCGAUACUGACGCUGAGGAGCGAAAGCGUGGGGAGCGAACAGG
rnacentral:rRNA from 1 species